rnacentral:lncRNA from 1 species
UGAUUGGAUGCGCGUGCAGGGUAGUACAGCUCACGUGACCGCCACCGCCAUUCCGGAUUUCGCCGCCGCGCUCCUGAGAAUAAUACCAGGGUGCCCAGCCGGCGAAGAGGCUAAUCGGAGCUAGCGCCCCCGCGCCGUGGCCGUCGCCGUUGGUUCCUUCUCCCACCCCUUUGUGCCUCUGCUGCCUCCGGCCUCCGGCUGUGUGCUGAACCCAAAUCCAACCCAUAGGUACGGCGGUAGCGCUCUCGGAACCAAGGCGAGCAGACACUGGGGUCGUUGCUGGCGGCGGCGGUGGGUGGUGGGCUCAUGCGUUGCGAUGCUGGGCUCUGUGGGCUAUGCUGUCUACUGCACGUAAACCGCGGUUCGGGCAGCUAGCGCAGUAGCACUCACCGCAUGUUAAAAGAGUAAAGUCCAUUUCAAACCCGGUUGUAGAACCCAAUCGAAUUUUGACCUGCAAAUCACUGAAUUUGAACUUAGCACCUUGAAUUUUCUAAUCCUGGUCAUUAGUGUCCUUAAGUGGUUUGCCAAACUGGGAUCCAUGAUCCCACACCCACCAAACUGUUCAGAAUGAAUACUUCAGAAGAAAAAAAAGACAAAAAAGAGACUUGAUCAAAAUUGAUACCAAUGAGAGAAAUUAACUGGAAAUUGAGUUUAUCAACGCAUCCACAUAGGCAUAAUACUUUCUUCCAAGAUUUCGCGGACUCCAUGAAAUCCACCUCGUGGCCUUCACGCCAUGCGCAAAGACAGUACUUCGUUGGCUCAUACUCCAUCGGAUCUUCACGAUACGGCACCAGCGAACGCCUAUCUCCCACGGUGCCUCUCACCCAUCGACGACCGCCGCUCGACACACACCCGGAUGACAUCUCCACCGCCGCCGCCGCCGACUGCGGGGCGCCUAGUUUUUGUCCUGGAAAUGCAAACUGUUAGUUUCUUAUUUUGAAGCGGUAAACCUUCUUAUCCAGCAUGGCCUAAACAAUCCCAGCUUAGACCCUGCCACGUCAGCAAUCCCGAGGCUAAUCCUACUUAAGGGCACUAAUGACCGGGAUUUGAGAGUUCAGGGUGCUAAGUUCAGGGAUUUGCAGGUUAGGGUUCGAUUGAGUCCACCUCUACAAGCACAGGGUUUAAAAUGGACUUUACUCUCUUUAAAAAGUCAAAAUUUAAUUGGCACACGCGU